rnacentral:rRNA from 1 species
GAUGAACGCUGGCGGCGUGCCUAAUACAUGCAAGUCGAGCGAACAGAUAAGGAGCUUGCUCCUUUGACGUUAGCGGCGGACGGGUGAGUAACACGUGGGUAACCUACCUAUAAGACUGGAAUAACUCCGGGAAACCGGGGCUAAUGCCGGAUAACAUUUAGAACCGCAUGGUUCUAAAGUGAAAGAUGCUUUUGCUAUCACUUAUAGAUGGACCCGCGCCGUAUUAGCUAGUUGGUAAGGUAACGGCUUACCAAGGCAACGAUACGUAGCCGACCUGAGAGGGUGAUCGGCCACACUGGAACUGAGACACGGUCCAGACUCCUACGGGAGGCAGCAGUAGGGAAUCUUCCGCAAUGGGCGAAAGCCUGACGGAGCAACGCCGCGUGAGUGAUGAAGGUCUUCGGAUCGUAAAACUCUGUUAUUAGGGAAGAACAAAUGUGUAAGUAACUGUGCACGUCUUGACGGUACCUAAUCAGAAAGCCACGGCUAACUACGUG